rnacentral:rRNA from 1 species
GACGAACGCUGGCGGCGUGCUUAACACAUGCAAGUCGAGCGAUGAAGUUCCUUCGGGAAUGGAUUAGCGGCGGACGGGUGAGUAACACGUGGGUAACCUGCCUCAUAGAGGGGAAUAGCCUGCCGAAAGGAAGAUUAAUACAGCAUAAGAUUGUAGUGCCGCAUGGCAUAGCAAUUAAAGGAGCAAUCCGCCAUGAGAUGGACCCGCGUGGCAUUGGCUAGUUGGUGAGGUAACGGCUCACCAAGGCGAGGGUGCGUAGCCGACCUGAGAGGGUGAUCGGCCACAUUGGGACUGAGACACGGCCCAGACUCCUACGGGAGGCAGCAGUGGGGAAUAUUGCACAAUGGGGGAAACCCUGAUGCAGCAACGCCGCGUGAGUGAUGACGGUCUUCGGAUUGUAAAACUCUGUCUUCAGGGACGAUAAUGACGGUACCUGAGGAGGAAGCCACGGCUAACUACGUGCCAGCAGCCGCCGUAA